AAAGUUUUAAGUUAAAAUAAACUAAUAAUCUUCAAAAUUAUAAACAAAUAAUAUUAUUUAAACUUUA
rnacentral:tRNA from 1 species